GUGUGCAGCCAUGCCAUCCUGAACAAGCUCAAUCCCGUCUGAUCUCAGAAGCUAAGCAGGGUUGGGCCUGGUUAGUACUUGGAGGGGAGACCACCUAGAAAGACCAGGUGCUAUGGGCA
rnacentral:rRNA from 1 species